AACGAACGCUGGCGGCAGGCCUAACACAUGCAAGUCGAACGGGAUCUUCGGAUCUAGUGGCGGACGGGUGAGUAACGCGUGGGAACGUGCCCUUUGGUUCGGAAUAGCCCUGGGAAACUGGGAGUAAUACCGGAUACGGUCGAGAGACGAAAGAUUUAUCGCCGAAGGAUCGGCCCGCGUUGGAUUAGGUAGUUGGUGGGGUAAAGGCCUACCAAGCCGACGAUCCAUAGCUGGUUUGAGAGGAUGAUCAGCCACACUGGGACUGAGACACGGCCCAGACUCCUACGGGAGGCAGCAGUGGGGAAUCUUAGACAAUGGGGGAAACCCUGAUCUAGCCAUGCCGCGUGAGCGAUGAAGGCCUUAGGGUUGUAAAGCUCUUUCGUGGGGGAAGAUAAUGACUGUACCCCAAGAAGAAGCCCCGGCUAACUCCGUGCCAGCCGCCGCAGUAAUAC
rnacentral:rRNA from 1 species